GGGUUCUAUAAUUUUUUAUUUUUUUCUGUUUUGUUUAUUUCGCUUAUGCAUGCUUACGAUUGUGGUUGUCGUAUUUGUUUUGCAGGAUAUAAUAGAAAUGUGAACAGUCGAUUGUUGCUCCUCUCCUUUGAAAAUUGGGUUGAUUGAUAAAUAUCCGAGAUUUGCUUCUCUUUUCUCAAUGGCUAUUCCCAGUGAAUUGCUUCGAUUUUGGAAAAGUGAGAAAUCCACCGGUUGUGACUUGUGACUGUUGAGCAAUAUGAAAUCUGCUUAUGUAUGAGCUCCCAUGCAUAAGAUGUGAGGCAGAUGCUCGUGCUAAUGUUGUUGGCCUUUGUGAAAGAUUACGACACAAAAGUGGUCUUGAAUAUCUCCACUAAUUGGUGAUUGCUCGAAAAUGUUAGUAUUGCAAGUGGUGUAGAAAAUGUGAUAUGUCGAACAAGUGUGUGGUAAAAGGACUACACGAGUUGUUUCCAAGAAGAUCUCUUAACACUUUCAAUGGUCAGGAUGUGACUCAUGUGAGUUAGAUCAAGGAUUGGUGACCCAUGAUGAGUUGCCAAAAGAGAUUUUUUAGGCCGAAAUCUUAAAAACUUAUCUCCUGGAUUGAAAAUUAAGGUCUAGAGCAGUCUAUAUCGCUUGACAAAGAUGUCAGAUACGUAUAUAUCCAGGCUAUGCUUACAAAGAAAUUUUGGAAUAUAAUAAAAAUAAUCCAAAUUAAGAUGACAUUCCGGCUAGGUGACAUUGUACCUAUUUGUUGACACCCUUAUAUAUUCAGGCAUUUUUAGCAUUCACGUUAAAGUUUUUGAUAUUUCACGCUUGGCAUUGACGAUCCAAGAUUUUAUGAUGCAAGAGGUUAUCUUUUGUUACAUGAGGAUUCUCUAGCGUCAAGUUAUCUACCAAUCGAGAUCUUCAAGCCAGCAAUAUAUUAUUGGAUACAUUUAAUGUACUAAGCAUAAAUUUCUAUUUUCCCCAUAAUAUAUAGUUGGACACGGGUGAAUUCAAGAACUAGAUUUCGGCAUGGUCAUGCUAUGUUUGCCUCCGGGUACAUUUUUAAAAUGUUGUUUGUUGCCGGUUCGUAAGCUAGAAUUUUAUGGAAAGGUGUUUCCACAAGGUCAUGGUUUUCCCAUUAAUUUUAAUCCCAUCACCAGUUUAGCGCCUAACUAUUCGAUAAAUUCACUUAUAGUUUUAUUUAGUUUUAUUUUAUGUAGCUGUGAAUGAUUUUUUUGGUUGUCUUGACUGGAUCUC